UCGGUAUGUUAUACAAUUUUCUCAUUGACACUUUUGCUCUGAAUAUAACACUUGAGCAGUUGAUUCAUUAAUAAUAACUAGUUAUGCAAUUAGGUAAAUACAAAACAUAGUCAGAGUUGCUCCAAGCAACGGCAAACAUUACGUUUGUUCUGUCGAGCUAUGUGGUACUUGCAUAUUUUUAAUAUUAUUAAAUUUUGGCGCAAGCUACGUGGGACACAUGGUGCAUGAAAUGCAGAUAUAACAUAUGGUACACAUAUUGUGUAAAUAUAACGUAGUGAUGCAAAUGUUUCGAUGUGGAUGCGGUGUCCGUUUCAACGAGGUAGAAAUGCACACUAAGUUUAUUAGCUGCAAACACAUGUGUUUGUCAGUCUUUUGCACUGCCCAUUAUACCACCACUUACAAGAGUUUCUUCACAUUAUGCAUCGUCUACAGAAAUGCCAGUAUUCGUGAUCACCGAUGCGACUUCGACUUGCACCAUUUCACACAGUUGCACGGCCGACGUGUAAUGAAUGGAGGCCAUGCACAGACCGAACCAUUGUUUCGUGCUAUUUUCUUGUUGGCGCUACUGGUUACAUAACACAACGCGGAGAAGUAGCACAUGCGUCGAGAAGCACGAGAUGUAACGACGUCUUGAAGCCCUUAGCAAUCAGGUGGUUAAUCGUGCCACUAGUUUUCUUCGUGGGCAGUGGUGAAGGGCUAGGGUGACAGAUGACAAGACGCGCAGUGGAGACGUCUUAGGUGGAGGACGGUAACUACCGGCUUUCCGGUUUUCGUAUGAAGACGUCAAAGUCUCCGGUGAACACCAACGGAGUCAUCUCGUCGUGCCUGUUGUAGUCACAGAUUACUGAUCCGAGUGUAUACAGAAUGAAGCUCACAGAGAGAAA